rnacentral:lncRNA from 1 species
GGGUAACCCCCUGACAGUUCAAGCACUCAGGGUCUUAGUGACCCAAGAAAGGCCUGAUCUGAUUUUUUUGAUGGAAACGAAACAUCAGGAACAUAAACUUAUACAGAUGCAAAGGAAACUUGGUUUCUCAGCUAGCUAUAUUGAAAAUCCAGUGGGUCUAGCAGGAGGGCUCGCCUUUUUUUGGAAUGCUAGAGUGGAUGUGAAAGUGAUCUAUAAUUCUGCAGACAUGAUUGACUCUUUUUGCACUGACCUGGAUUUGGGGAUCACUAUGCGUCUUACCUGCCUCCAUGCUCCUGUAAGUUAUCAGCUUAGACAGCACCUGUGGACAGCAUUAAGGAGAAUCGGUAGCUUUAAUACCCAGCCUUGGUUGUGUCUAGGUGACUUUAAUGAGGUAAUGCAUGCAUGGGAGAAAGUAGGGAAGAGACCUGUAGAGACCUAUCGCAUGCAUUCAUUUCGUGAUCUAAUUAAUGAUUGUUUGCUAAUGGAUCUGGGAAACAAAGGCUGCUCUUAUACUUGGUCUAAUAAUCGGACUGGUGCUGAUAUGGUUAAGGAACGAAUCGAUAGGAUGCUGUGCACAAAAGCAUGGAGACUCACUUACCCCUUGGCGGAGGUGCUGGCCCUACCAGCA